GGGCCGGUAGCUCAGCGGUCAGAGCAGCGGACUCAUAAUCCGUAGGUCGCAGGUUCGAAUCCUGCCCGGCCCAUCA
rnacentral:tRNA from 1 species